rnacentral:rRNA from 1 species
UACAGAGGUCCCAAGCGUUGUUCGGAUUCAUUGGGCGUAAAGGGUGUGUAGGUGGCGCCGUAAGCCGGGUGUGAAAUUUCGGAGCUUAACUCCGAAACUGCAUUCGAUACUGCGGUGCUUGAGGACUGGAGAGGAGACUGGAAUUCAUGGUGUAGCAGUGAAAUGCGUAGAGAUCAUGAGGAAGACCAGUGGCGAAGGCGGGUCUCUGGACAGUUCCUGACACUGAGACACGAAGGCCAGGGGAGCAAACGGG